AGAGUUUGAUCAUGGCUCAGAAUGAACGCUGGCGGCGUGCCUAACACAUGCAAGUCGUACGAGAAAGGUCCCUUCGGGGGCUGAGUACAGUGGCGAACGGGUGAGUAACGCGUGGGUAACCUACCCUUCAGUGUGGAAUAACUCGGGGAAACCUGGGCUAAUACCGCAUGACAUCCCCGGGACUUCGGUCCUGGGGAUCAAAGGUGGCGAAGUUCGACUGCUACCGCUGGAGGAGGGGCCCGCGUCCCAUUAGCUUGUUGGUGGGGUAACGGCCCACCAAGGCUCCGAUGGGUAGCCGGCCUGAGAGGGUGAUCGGCCACACUGGAACUGAGACACGGUCCAGACUCCUACGGGAGGCAGCAGUGGGGAAUAUUGGGCAAUGGGCGCAAGCCUGACCCAGCGACGCCGCGUGGGUGAUGAAGGCCCUUGGGUCGUAAAACCCUGUCAUGAGGGACGAAAGACGGGCUCUAACAUAGCCUCGGUUUGACGGUACCUCAGGAGGAGGCCCCGGCUAACUCCGUGCCAGCAGCCGCGGUAAUACGGAGGGGGCGAGCGUUAUUCGGAAUCAUUGGGCGUAAAGGGCAGGUAGGCGGCUUUAUGUGUCCUCUGUGAAAGCCCUCGGCUCAACCGAGGAAUUGCAGGGGAAACUGCAAAGCUUGAGUCCGGGAGAGGGUAGCGGAAUUCCCAGUGUAGCGGUGAAAUGCGUAAAUAUUGGGAGGAACACCUGUGCCGAAGGCGGCUUCCUGGACCGUGACUGAACCUUAAGCUCGAAAGCCAGGGGAGCCAACGGGAUUAGAUACCCGGGUAGUCCUCGCUGUAAACGUUGUAUACCAGGUUGGUUGGCGCGCACCCACCGUGCCGAACCUAACGCAUUAAGUCCACCGCCUGGGGACUACGGUCGCAAGGGUAAAACUCAAAGGAAUUGACGGGGCCCCGCACAAGCGGUGGAGCAUGUGGUUUAAUUCGAUGAUACGCGAAAAACCUUA
rnacentral:rRNA from 1 species